AACGUAGGAGACAAACGUUAUCCGGAGUUACUGGGCGUAAAGGGCGUGUAGGUGGUUUCGUAAGUCUGGCGUGAAAUAUCUCGGCUUAACCGAGGCAGGUCGUCGGAUACUGCGGAACUGGAGGACGGUAGAGGCGUGUGGAAUUCCGGGUGUAGUGGUGAAAUGCGCAGAUAUCAGGAGGAACACCGGUGGCGAAGGCGGGUCUCUGGGCCGUAACUGACGCUGAGGAGCGAAAGCAUGGGGAGCGAACAGG
rnacentral:rRNA from 1 species